rnacentral:rRNA from 1 species
UGGGGAAUAUUGCGCAAUGGGCGAAAGCCUGACGUAGCAACACCGUGUGAGCGAUGAAGGCCUUAGGGUUGUAAAGCUCUGUCAAAUGGGAAGAAUUAUGAUGGUAUCAUUAGAGGAAGUUUUGGCUAACUCUGUGCUAGCAGCCGCGGUAAUACGGAGGGGGCAAGCGUUGUUCGGAAUUAUUGGGCGUAAAGCGUAUGUAGGUGGCCGAGUAAGUCAGACGUGUAAGCCCGUGGCUCAACCACGGAAUUGCGUUUGAAACUACUCGGCUUGAGUACAGGAGAGGAAAGCGGAAUUCCCAGUGUAGCGGUGAAAUGCAUUGAUAUUGGGAAGAACAUCUGUGGCGAAGGCGGCUUUCUGGUCUGUUACUGACGCUGAGAUACGAAAGCCAGGGGAGCGAACGGG